rnacentral:rRNA from 1 species
AUCGUACCCCAAACCGACACAGGUGGUCAGGUAGAGAAUACCAAGGCGCUUGAGAGAACUCGGGUGAAGGAACUAGGCAAAAUGGUGCCGUAACUUCGGGAGAAGGCACGCUGAUAUGUAGGUGAAGUCCCUGCGGAUGGAGCUGAAAUCAGUCGAAGAUACCAGCUGGCUGCAACUGUUUAUUAAAAACACAGCACUGUGCAAACACGAAAGUGGACGUAUACGGUGUGACGCCUGCCCGGUGCCGGAAGGUUAAUUGAUGGG